AAAGAUCGAUACCGGAGGGGGGGCGAUGAUGCCGCGGAGAAUUCCUGCUCACGCAGGCAGCCUGUACCGCGUACAGUCUGAAACUCCCUAUACCUCAACAAACUGCCACUCCGGCGUGAAGGUAUCGUUCU
rnacentral:ncRNA from 1 species